rnacentral:tRNA from 1 species
GGCGGCGUAGCCAAGUGGUUAAGGCGGAGGUCUGCAAAACCUCUAUUCAUCGGUUCGAAUCCGAUCGCCGCCU